GUCUGUGAGAGUUAUAUUUAUUACUAAUAAACGGAGUUUUUCAGCUAGCAAGGUUACAUUCAUCCCGACCUAUAAUAGAUGAGAAGCGCAGUUUACAUUUUUGCACGUUCCAUUUUUUAUUUUUUAAGAAGUUUUAGGAUACAGUACGAUGGAUGAAAUCUAUUGAUGGCUAUAAUUCAAUAAAUUCAAAUUGAGGCAAAGGUUGAGUAACUAGUAUUUGGAAACUAUUGAUGGAAUGCAACAACCUUUAAGUACCUAGGAAUUCGUCUGGAUGUAUGGAGUAAUAUGAACUUUGGAUCUAUUAGAUCUAUGCAGGAAUUGAAAGUUUGCUUUUCCGAUCUUCUUAUUAGAUACAAGUUUCUUAUGAUACCUAAGACACCAGCUAUGCGCAUUUCAGCUUCUUCGUAUGCAUAGGGAAAAUCCACUGCAAUAUUUUUAUGCAACUGAAGCAGCAGACAAGAUACAAUGUCAUCCAAGAAAUUACUAUAAUUAGUUCCAACUGUUUCAUAAUUUUUCGACAGACAGCAAUCGUUGAUCGAGGAUAGUUUCUUUGAAUUGCUUAUUUACAUAAGCAAUUUUCUUACAGUUUACAAGGCCUAACGACAACUACACCUGUCCAUUUUAACUCUCUUAAAUACAUAGAAAAUUAUUACCUCAUCUUACGACAAGUCACCACGGAGAAGAAAAAGGUAAGCGUUAGCAAAUUUAUUUAAAAGCGUACAUCGAAACGAAACGAACAAUUCUACAAAUCAAAAAUUUUACUUUCGCAAUGCUGCAUUUAUAUUAUGCUUGAUGUUGGGCGGACCUCCAUCCUCUUCUCAUUUACCUGCAACAAACAAAAUUAUUGAAACAAAUUUUCCUUUUACAGCGGUUCACACAACUACUAAAGCUGGAUUUACAUUUGGAGCUUACCCCCCAACUUUCGGCAUACCCCACCAACCCUUUGGUACCCUUUAAAGCACUUUGCGCCAACCGCAGUUGCAUCAUUCUGAGAUAUUCCACUUAUUCUGCGAUUUCGCGCAAAUUCGUUAGACUCCGAUGCCGAUACAAAACUUACGCACAACAGGUACGCGGUAAGCAAAAUUGCUAACGUAAAGAUCUUCAUGUUGACCUGUUGGACGUAACAGCGAAACUAUGCGCUGUUCGAAGUCAAUCAAUUAUUUAUGCAUCUAAUUAACGCGUGGGGUUCGCUAAUAUUAUCGGUCUGAUAAAACUUAGGUAUAGAGAGCUUACCGUGCCCAACUUUUCUGCACCUUGAAAGUAUUCUUUCAUAUCCUGGAUUGCAAUUGACUUUAAUCAAGUUCUGGUCAUCUUUAUGAAGGACGUUCAUUCGCUUACGUCUGUAUACCACUACUGGGGCUCCUCCAAUUACAUACGCAAUCAUAGUGAAUGCACAAACAAAAAAGAAGAGAAAAUUGCGAAAGUGCAUGUUUCGGAGUGGACAGUGCUACUAUGUACUAAGAAUAAAAAAUUGGAAGUACCUACGCGAAUUCUAAAGGAAGCCGCAAGGUAUGAUAUUCUAUCAACAAGGCGAUCGCUAAAUAAGAGGAAAUGUAUUUAUCUUUCUAAUUAAGUGUUUUUCUAAAAAAUUUGUAGUUUUCGGGUUUAGUCGAAUGUUGUUAGAGAUACACCUCCUGCCCUUUGGUCUAGGGGUAUUUUUCCUUUAAUUACAAUUCCCAAGUAUAAAUUACGCAGUUACAAUACCUAUUAAUCCAACUAAUUAACCUUACAACGGUAAAAAGGAUGUGGAUUCCAUAACCUCCAGACUGAGAUAAACGGCAAACAAACCGCAAAACAAACUUUUAAAAACUAAUUGAUUGAGGUAUUGACCUUCUUAUUUUAGCAAUAAAUGGUUGUUGUACGUACCCAAAUGUUUUUCGACACUUUCCGUUAACUCUAUCGAAUCCUUUUUGGCAGUUUACUUUAAUAACAGCAAAUUUUUUUAGAUGCACUUUCGCACCUGCUAUUAUAUCAAGUGCUAAUACAUAGACAAGCAGAAGUAGGUAAUAGGAAAUCCGCAUGUUGCAGGCUACAGUUGGCAUUCAAGGGUUAAAUUGUCUGCCGAAAUUAAAUCAACUAAACGUCACCGCAAACAUUAAUCUAAAUACAUGGUUAAUUUGAUAUGAACCAACUUCAUGUGAAUUUUCUGAUUUAAUUUACACACUUCCGCGCACUUGUUUUGAUCCAUACAUGAUCUAUAUGCACGAUUGUACUUAUGUGUAAAUUAUCGUAGGUAAAAGAGAAAAAGUUGAUGGAUCAACACCGAUAGAUUACAUCGUGACUUCUUUCAUUGUGCCACGACCGCCCUUAUCUUUCGGAGUAUAUGCAGUACAUGCGCAAUUUCAUUCGUGGAAUUUUAUUUUGGAGGGCUACGUGAAUCGUGAAUGUUAAUUGAACCACUAACUUUUUCAGACGUGAAUGUAAUUAGUGUAUACCCUAGCUUUGGGCCCAUACACAUAUCUUGUGAGCUUUUGGUUUAGGCAAAAAUCAAAAGUCCUGUGGGGUAACACCGGCUGAUACUAGUUUGUACCUAUUUUGUGCGCUCUAUACCAAAAUAGGUGCUAGAUGAACAACAAUGGCUAAUGGCAAACCAUAAUACUAAGUUGGUGGCAUGAUGAUUUUCAUUUUUUAGUCAUUUGGAAUUAACGAAUUUAAAAUAAAAUAUGUGUGCCAGAUGCUUUUUAAUUUUAAUUAAAGAAUUUGAGGAUCAUUUUUGAGGUAUUCGAAAUGCUAAAUCACCUCCAUUUAGUUUUUUAUUAUAGACCCAAGUACAAUGAAAAGUUAAUUCAUUUAACCCCAGUUAACCAAUUAUAAAGCAAGGAUUUGCUCCAUAAUGCUCCAUCUGCAUUGUUUUUCUUGGUUGUGAGAUUGCUUAUGAAAUUAGGAAAACUAUUUUUGUGGAAAAUGUUUUACUGACUCAUAAACUUUCGCGAGCAUACCAUACCCCGAAGUUUUGUCGCAAUCGGAUGAGCGGUUUAGACAGGCAUAAUCACACUGUGCACAUUUUAAAUCCUUUGAAAAUCUGUGUGUUAAGAGAUCUCGUUUCAGAAAAUUUGUUGCUACAUUACAAUGUGUACACUUUAAAUCUAUUGAAGAGUUGCAUAUUUUUAAGCGGUAAGAGUUUCUCUUAUUCAGCUUUAUAAAAAUUACUAACUACGGGUAAACAUGUUUUUGAAAUUAGUCUGGGAUUUACAUAUCGUAGAAGUAUCAAAAUUUAGUGGAUUGAAUUGGUUUUCCAAAUAAAUGGCAUGCUUGGUGGAAAUUCAAGGAAUAAAUUAAAAGGACGAAGGAAAAUGAAAUUGAUUGACGACUUGAAGGAGGCAGAAGAAGGAUAUGAAGGAUUAUGGAGGAAAGCAAAGGAGUCGGUUUUGAUUUCCUUCUGGACAAGCGGGGUCGAUAAUCCCCUACAAUCUGUGUAUUGUUGUAAUCGGAAAUCAGUAAAGGUUGGAAGCUUUUGAAAGGUGGAUAUGGAGAUGAGUCAUGAACUCAAAUGAAUUGAUGAGAUAAGGAUUGUAGAAGUAUUAAGUAGAAUUGGAAAGGAAAGAUGUAUGUUAAAGAUCAUAAAGCCAAAGAAAAUAAACUAGAUUGGAUAUGUAUUAAGAAAGAACUGUUUGGUGUAGGAAGUAAUCGAGGGAACUGCUCAGGGAGGAAGGAAACGAUGAGGAGGAAUGAGGAAAUUAGUUAACGACCUGAAUGGGGGAGGAUAUGAAGGAGUAAAGAGACAAUCUUUAAUAGUUCCCUUUUAAUAACAGCCGAGAAUAGUUAAUAAUUUAGUUUUGGCACGUCACUGUGAAUGUGAUUAUAGGGUGAUGUAGUCUGGUCCUUCAACUUCCGUCUUGAUGAGUCGAUUCUUAGAUAAUAGAAGGUGUUAUAUCAUUAUUCCAAGUGGCAUGGUGGUGUAGAGCGGAUGUAGAGUUUUAUAAAGUAAACUAUAUCUCUGGAAUUAUUAAUCCAAUUUCAUUAAUCUUUUUUUUAAUGAAAGCUCUGUACAUGUGCUAUAAAUAUUGUUAUUAGUACUUUUUCGAUAAA